rnacentral:rRNA from 1 species
UACAGAGACCUCAAGCGUUAUCCGGAAUCAUUGGGCGUAAAGCGUACCGAUAGGUGGUUGAAAUAGUCUUGGGUAAAAGCCAGAAGCUCAACUUCUGCGUUUGCUUAAGAUACUUUUCGACUAGAGGGGCAAAGAGGUGCUUGGAACGAAUGGUGUAGUAGUGAAAUGCGUUGAUAUCAUUCGGAACACCGAAAGCGAAGGCAGAGCACUGGGUGCCACCUGACACUGCUAGGACGAAAGCGUGGGGAGCAAACAGG